UGGGGCAUCAGGUAAUGGCACAGAAGAGUUCGAUUCUGGCUCAGAUUGAACGCUGGCGGGAUGCUUUACACAUGCAAGUCGAACGGCAGCACGGACUUCGGUCUGAGCGAGUGGCGAACGGGUGAUAAUGUAUCGGAACGUGCCCCUGGUAGCGAGGAUAACUACGCGAAAGCGUAGCUAAUACCGCAUACGCCCUUCAGGGAAAGCGGGGGACCUUCGGGCCUCGCACUAUUAGAGCGGCCGAUAUCGGAUUAGCUAGUUGGUGGGGUAACGGCUCGCAAGGCGACGAUCCGUAGCUGGUUUUGAGAGGACGACCAGCCACUGGGACUGAGACACGGCCCAGACUCCUACGGGAGGCAGCAGUGAGGUACGGUUUCAAUGGGGAAACCCUGAUCAGCCAUCGCGUGUGCGAUGAAGGCCUUCGGGGUUAUAAAGCACUUUUGGCAGGAAAGAAACGGCACGGGAUAAUACCCCGUGCAACUGACGACACCUGCAGAAUAAGCACCGGCUUUAACUACGUGCCAGCAGCCGCGGUAAUACAGCGGCGUAAGAAAGUGCAAAAAGCGUUAAUCGGAAUUACUGGGCGUAAAGCGUGCGCAGGCGGUUCGGAAAGAAAGAUGUGAAAUCCCAGAGCUUAACUUUGGAACUGCAUUUUUAACUACCGAGCUAGAGUGUGUCAGAGGGAGGUGGAAUUCCGCGUGUAGCAGUGAAAUGCGUAGAUAUGCGGAGGAACACCGAUAGCGAAAACGGCCUCCUGGGAUAACACUGACGCUCGUAAAGCAGUAGAACUUAAACAGGAUUAGAUACCUGGUAGUCCACGCCCUAAACGAUGUCAACUGGCUGUUGGGCCUUCGGGCCUUGGUAGCGCAACUAACGCGUGAAGUUGACCGCCUGGGAAGUACCGAUCGCAAGAUUAAAACUCAAAGGAAUUGACGGGGACCCGCACAAGCCGGUGGAUGAUGUGGAUUAAUUCGAUGCAACGCGAAAAACCUUACCUACCCUUGACAUGUCUGGAAUCCCGAAGAGAUUUGGGAGUGCUCGCAAGAGAACUGGAACACAGGUGCUGCAUGGCUGUCGUCAGCUCGUGUCGUGAGAUGUUGGGUUAAGUCCCGCAACGGGCCUGUUGUCAUUAGUUGCUACGAAGGGCACUCUAAUGGAGACUGCCGGUGACAAACCGGAGGAGGUGGGGAUGACGUCAAGUCCUCAUGGCCCUUAUGGGUAGGGCUUCACACGUCAUACAAUGGUCGGGACAGAGGGUCGCCAACCCGCGAGGGAGCCAAUCCAGAAACCCGAUCCGUAGUCGGAUCGCAGUCUGCAACUCGACUGCGUGAAGUCGGAAUCGCUAGUAAUCGCGGAUCAGCAUGUCGCGGUGAAUACGUUCUCCCGGUCUUGUACACACCGCCCGUCACACCAUGGGAGUGGGUUUUACCAGAAGUAGUUAGCCUAACCGUAAGGAGGGCGAUUACCACGGUAGGAUUCAUGACUGGGGUGAAGUCGUAAUAAGGUAG
rnacentral:rRNA from 1 species